CGCCUCCCUUUAGCCAGGAUCCUACUCGUCCCGAACGCAAGCAACGAGGCAGAUGCCUGCUCCAGACUGCUCAGCAUCAGCCACCACUCGGCUGGGAGCGAAGAGACAGUCUCGGCAGUGCUCCUACCUCUUCGUUCCUGUCCCUUCGUUCCUCCAGUAAAUAACUUGCCAGGAGAAAAAAACAGCCCUUGCCAGCGAGCUACUCCUCAGCCUGCUUGCUCCGCCACCCGCACCUCGCCCCACGUCCCCCAUCGCCCGCCCGUCCCAGCACCCUGCCAAAGGAGCCUCGCUGUGGCCAAGCCGAGCGGCGGGGUCGGUGGGUCUGAGCCCCCGCAGCCUCUGCAGAGCCAACACCGCAAAGCGCUUGCUCUUGUCAGAGAGCUGCGGAGGGUGACAGCUCCUCACUGUGCUGUGACAGCAGAAUCCGAGAGACGGCUGCUGCUGAGCAUCGCGUGCUGCUGCCCAGCAGGGAAAGGCAGACCAUGGUUUUGCAGUGAUGAAGCCAGACAGCCCUUCCAGCCCUCCAGAAAACCGGACAUGUCUGCCCUGGAUUCGUCCUCCCUUCCCCCAGCUGAACACAACAACAACCAGAAAUAUCCUGUGAUCUCUUCUGCUUCACCUGUAAUUUGUCUAAUGAUGGCAAUGAGCUGCACCGUCUGCCUUUGUCAAGAUCAAAAAAAGACAUCUCAGCCAUAUGAUGUCAGCUUAUAUUAAACCCCACCUCUCCCCCCCUCCGCCUCCCCUCUCCAGCACUCGACGGAGGGGGGGAGAUGUCUUUGUUGGCAACCUCACCCUGCAGCCUCCUUUCUCCCCUUUGCACAUCCUCUGCCCCUUGGAGGAGCCCUGGUGAAAGGUGCGGGGAGAGCGAGCCCAAGCCAGCAGCCGAGCCCACAACCUGUGGCAAAGGCACACAGCAAGGGACGCAGCGAGACAGACUGCGGGUCAGCAAGGGAAACUGGCCCUCCAAGGGCUUUUGAUCACCACAUGUCGUCUCCUCCCGCUCUGCUCUCAUUGUACGGCGUGGUAGUGGCUCAACGUACAUCUGUAAAGUUGCUUCUCUGCAGUGCCUUGGCAUGAACUGCUUCCUGCCCGUAACACUGGGACCGUGAGCAGAGGAGUGCCAGGCUGGAAAGAGGCAGGCAGGGAUGGACAGGAGAGUCUGGGGGAAGACAGCCGGACGGGUAGGAGUGAGUAGGAUUGAGAUCAGGGCUGCUGGAGCGUCCUUCCAAAGCUAGCACAGGAUGAUUUAGCAUGCACAACCCAGAGCACUGAAGCAAGGUCCCUGAACUCGUUGCUACAUGGCAUGGAGAUACUAGGUGAUGUGCCAAAGGCCACCGAGGUGAUCAGCAUAAGCACAAAGCACAGAGAUAAUUUGGAAUAGAUUUUUUUUUUUUUUUAACAAAUUUAGUGAUUAUGCAGGCUUCAUUAUGCCUCGCACUAGGCUUGUAACCAAUACUUAAACAACACGGCAAGUGAUUCUGUGCUGCUUGGAAAUGAGGUUGGUGGUCUGAAUAAGCUUUUCACUUCCUCAUCCUAAUGCAUAAUUUAUAUAGCUAUUGCUAUAAAUAUAGACAUUUCAGGGAAUAUACAUAUGGUUGCUGCAGCACAGUGGAGAUGGUAGG
ensembl:lncRNA